CUUAUUUGUUUUAAGUGAUAAUUUAAUACCCGUUAGUUAAAAAGGAUUUAUAUAUACAUAUAUUCUUUAGAUAUACUGUUAGUUGAUUAGAUUUGAUUAAUUGACUUUUUUAUCUUAAUUUUAAUUUCCUAACUCUUGGAGAUGACACCUUGCUACGCCACUCAUCAAAGUCAUUCUUAUCAAUUAGCCAUCAUCUUAAUUUUACCCAUUACAAUAACAAAAGAAGUGCGUAUCUCUCAUUCCUCUUUGCUCAUAUACGACCAAGUAUGCCCAUAACCACAAUCAAGCUUAUUUCCUUUACUAUUAGUAAAUUAAUAAAUAUUGACAUUUGAAGAUGAGUUCUAUCUAGAGAAAUUUCUUAAGAGAAGCUAGCGCAAAGUAAUCAAGGUGAUGCAAUUUUCCUAGCGACAUACCGGGCGUAGGUACGGACAUCAGUGAUAUAUGAUGAGUACCGAGCGUAGGUAGGGGUUCACCUGAUUAGGUGAUGCAAUUUUCCUGGCGAUGUAUCGAGCGUAGGUACAGGCGUCAGUGAUAUGAAAAUGCCAGGUUAUGGCAUAGAUCGAAACCAUUGUUGGGUUUCUUCUUGGCAACGUAUCGGGCAUAGGUACAGGCAUCAGUGAUAUGAUAAGUAAUGCGCGUAGGUACGAGCUCGUCUGAUUAGAUGAUGCAAUAUAUUGGUGCCAGAUCGUGGCACGGGCUCACCUUAUUAGAUGAUAAAAUUAUAUGAUAUAUGGGUGUAGGUUUUGGCACAGGCUCACUUGAUUAGAUGAUGCAGUUAUGCGAUAUAUGGGUGUCAGGCUAUGGUACGAGCUUGCCUGAUUAUGCAACGUGAUGUUAUGAAAAUUGUUACUUUAUGAGGUAAAGACAAAGAAAAGCUAGACCAACCAUGGGGUGACAAUCUUCUCCAAUAAUAUACAUAUUGACCUUGCCAGUCUGCGUGUCGGGUUUUCCAAGAGUUGUUUUGGGCUGUAUCUAUUGUGUAUCUCAGUUUUAUGUUUUUGAGGCAUCGUCAUAUAUAGUUCUUCUGUAAAACUUUUUAUAACAGGGAUCCUCGGAACAUGCUUUUUAUGACGUUAUAAUGUCCGUUUUUAGUUUUUUA